rnacentral:rRNA from 1 species
UACGGAGGGUGCAAGCGUUAUCCGGAUUCACUGGGUUUAAAGGGUGCGUAGGAGGGCAGGGAAGUCCGUGGUGAAAUCUCCGAGCUUAACUCGGAAACUGCCGUGGAUACUCUCUGUCUUGAAUCCCGUGGAGAUGAGCGGAAUAUGUCAUGUAGCGGUGAAAAUGCUUAGAUAUGACAUAGAACACCAAUUGCGAAGGCAGCUCACUACGGGAUCAUUGACACUGAGGCACGAAAGCGUGGGGGAUCAAACAGG